ensembl:miRNA MIR23A microRNA 23a
CUGCUGCUGCUGCCUGCUGGGGUUCCUGGUGAUGUGAUUUUACCUUGAUGUUCAGAAUCACAUUGCCAGGGAUUUCCAACUGUUGGC